rnacentral:tRNA from 1 species
GAGGGUAUAGCUCAGUGGUAGAGUCCUAUGCUUAGCGUGGACGAGGUCCUGGGUUCAAUCCCCAGUACCUCCA